UGCUGUCUCCUCCUAUAGCCUGGUCUCAGAUCUGCUGUCUCCUCCUAUAGCCUGGUCUCAGAUCUGCUGUCUCCUCCUAUAGCCUGGUCUCAGAUCUGUCCCUAUCAAGACAAACUGUUUGGCGUGACAAGGAGUUGACAUGAUGGCACAAACUGGCAUCAUCAGGCUACUAUAUAAAUCAGGCGUCUCAUUAGAAUGUACAGUGAUGACGGUUACGCUGUCCAUGUUGUAAAGUAGGAGAGACAUGUUUUAUAUCUGUCUGGACUAUGUCACUAAUGUGUGUCCCUAAAAGAGAAAUGUUAUUUUUAAAUGUUUCCAGGUUCACAUUGAGGCUGGUGUUAUUUGUUAAUCUAAUGAACAUUUUUUAAAUUAAUUUCUGUUAAUCUAAUCCAUGUGGUGUGCAUGACGUACACAUUAACAGCAGUAAGCAAAUAGUUUUUAUGGAGAAAGAAACAAUUUAUUGCUUUAUCUACUUUAGUAUUGUUUGCAAAGAAGGAAAACAAAAAUGAUGAGACUUUCAAACAAAUAUGACUUUAAAACAGACCGUUUGAUGCUGUUUUGAAAGCCAUAUGGAGCUAUUCAUUUAAUCCUCAAGGCCCGACGCUGCCACCUAGUGGAUGUAUAGCAGUCCUGCAGCUCAUCCAAUCACUGUAAUAGAGGGGUGGAUUAAGGGUGUGUGUAUAAAUCCUUUUUCUUUUUUUUUGGUCAUAAUUAGCACCCUAUUCCCUAAGUAGUGCACUACUUUUGACCAGAGUCCUAUGUAGAGAAUAGGGUGCCAUUUGGGACUCAGUCAUGGUUGAUGUUUAACGUUUUACAUUCCAUGUAUUUUGUUUUGUCUGGAUAUAGGUGUGUGUCGUCACCCUACUGACCUUGUAUGAAGCAAAAACAAAUACAUUUUAUAUUAUCCUACGAAUGCCAAUAAAGAGAGCUCAGGACAGUUGCACUUCGAGUAAAUGUCUGUUUCAUGAGGAUCGGGGUCUUGUUGUAUUGGCGUCGUGCACCAGCGUCAAUCAUUGUCAUGUACAUGUUAGACUGUUCAAACGUCUCCUUGGAAACGAGCCUGGAGUCGGGACACCCAACUGGGUUCCUAGCCAGCCACUGAGUUGGAGCCAAUUGAUGUAUAGGCUAUAUAAUCAUUCUGUGUAUAUAGGCCUCUGGUUGGCCCAGGCUAUUGGGA
ensembl:lncRNA